GUACACUCCUACGGGAGGCAGCAGUGGGGAAUUUUGGACAAUGGGCGAAAGCCUGAUCCAGCAAUGCCGCGUGAGUGAAGAAGGCCUUCGGGUUGUAAAGCUCUUUUGUCAGGGAAGAAACGGUGAAAGCUAAUAUCUUUUGCUAAUGACGGUACCUGAAGAAUAAGCACCGGCUAACUACGUGCCAGCAGCCGCGGUAAUACGUAGGGUGCAAGCGUUAAUCGGAAUUACUGGGCGUAAAGCGUGCGCAGGCGGUUUUGUAAGUCUGAUGUGAAAUCCCCGGGCUCAACCUGGGAAUUGCAUUGGAGACUGCAAGGCUAGAAUCUGGCAGAGGGGGGUAGAAUUCCACGUGUAGCAGUGAAAUGCGUAGAUAUGUGGAGGAACACCGAUGGCGAAGGCAGCCCCCUGGGUCAAGAUUGACGCUCAUGCACGAAAGCGUGGGGAGCAAACAGGAUUAGAUACCCGGGUAGUCCCA
rnacentral:rRNA from 1 species